CAGCUAAGCUGAGCUUGGAUAUGGGGUCCUUUGCUAAAACUGCGCGUUUCCUGGUGCUCCUCCAGAUCGCCUUGUUCAUCGUCUCAGCCGUCAUCAUGAACAGCUCAGUCUGCCAUGGAGCUCACGAUGGAGGAAUCGGUUACCCUUCUUUGAACCCUAACCAUCCUUCGUGCGCCAGAAAACCGUGCCCGUCGCCUGGUCAGCCCUACACCGGCGGACCCCCUCCCCCAAACAACGGAGGAAUUGGACGGCCUUGAUGCAUCAUGUCUCCCUCUAGCAGUGCAAGUUACUACCACGAUCUUGCACUGAAUCGGCAGCAAUAUUGUCUCGUGUACUUACUACGUUUUAAAACUUCAAAUAAAACUGGAUGCCUGGCCCUGAUAUCAAUAUGGUUGUGCGAACAUGAAACUUCGGUUCAGAAUUAGUAAAAGACAUUGAUGAGAGCGCACUGUAUAGCUAAGUGUUGCUUCCUAUUUGAUUCA